UUACAAUUAAAGGAUAUUUCUUGCGAAUGAAUGAGAGACGGAAAUGUCCCUUAAUUGUUUGGC
ensembl:miRNA